UACCCAGACUCCUACGGGAGGCAGCAGUGGGGAAUAUUGGACAAUGGGGGGAACCCUGAUCCAGCGACGCCGCGUGAGUGAAGAAGUAUUUCGGUAUGUAAAGCUCUAUCAGCAGGGAAGAAAGAAAUGACGGUACCUGACUAAGAAGCCCCGGCUAACUACGUGCCAGCAGCCGCGGUAAUACGUAGGGGGCAAGCGUUAUCCGGAUUUACUGGGUGUAAAGGGAGCGUAGACGGCAAUGCAAGUCUGGAGUGAAAGGCGGGGGCCCAACCCCCGGACUGCUCUGGAAACUGUAUAGCUGGAGUGCAGGAGAGGUAAGUGGAAUUCCUAGUGUAGCGGUGAAAUGCGUAGAUAUUAGGAGGAACACCAGUGGCGAAGGCGACUAUCUGGCACAUAACUGACGCUGAGGAGCGAAAGCGUGGGUAGCAAACAGGAUUAGAUACCCUUGUA
rnacentral:rRNA from 1 species